UCCCACCCGGCGAAUCGUGGCCGACUGAGGCCACAUUCCUGAGUUCGUGGUGGUUCGAGCCACGGUAAAAGCAUCCUCAGGAUAGCCGGGUGGGUUUUA
rnacentral:sRNA from 12 species